rnacentral:rRNA from 1 species
AAUCUACCUAGUAGAAGGGGAUAGCCCGGGGAAACUCGGAUUAAUACCGUAUACCUCCUAAGGGAGAAAGAGGGCCUCUCUUGAUGCUCUCGCUAUUAGAUGAGCCUGCGUAAGAUUAGCUUGUUGGUAAGGUAAUGGCUUACCAAGGCUACGAUCUUUAGCUGGUCUGAGAGGACGAUCAGCCACAUUGGGACUGAGACACGGCCCAGACUCCUACGGGAGGCAGCAGUGGGGAAUAUUGGACAAUGGGCGCAAGCCUGAUCCAGCCAUACCGCGUGUGUGAAGAAGGCCUUCGGGUUGUAAAGCACUUUAAGCAGGGAGAAAAAGUUAUAAGUUAAUACCUUGUAACCGUGAUGUUACCUGCAGAAUAAGCACCGGCUAAUUCCGUGCCAGCAGCCGCGGUAAUACGGAAGGUGCAAGCGU